UACGUAGGGUGCGAACGUUGUCCGGAAUUAUUGGGCGUAAAGAGCUCGUAGGCGGUUUGUCGCGUCGAAUGUGAAAACCCGGGGCCCAACCCCGGGCCUGCAUUCGAUACGGGCAGACUAGAGUUCGGUAGGGGAGUCUGGAAUUCCUGGUGUAGCGGUGAAAUGCGCAGAUAUCAGGAGGAACACCGGUGGCGAAGGCGGUUCUCUGGGCAUUACCUGACGCUGAGGAGCGAAAGUGUGGGGAGCGAACAGG
rnacentral:rRNA from 1 species